rnacentral:rRNA from 1 species
ACUUCUUGUUUCCUUGGUGGGUUCGCCCACCACUAGGACAAACAUAAACCUUUUGUAAUUGCAAUCAGCGUCAGUAACAAAUUAAUAAUUACAACUUUCAACAACGGAUCUCUUGGUUCUGGCAUCGAUGAAGAACGCAGCGAAAUGCGAUAAGUAGUGUGAAUUGCAGAAUUCAGUGAAUCAUCGAAUCUUUGAACGCACAUUGCGCCCUUUGGUAUUCCAAAGGGCAUGCCUGUUCGAGCGUCAUUUGUACCCUCAAGCUUUGCUUGGUGUUGGGCGUCUUGUCUCUAGCUUUGCUGGAGACUCGCCUUAAAGUAAUUGGCAGCCGGCCUACUGGUUUCGGAGCGCAGCACAAGUCGCACUCUCUAUCAGCAAAGGUCUAGCAUCCAUUAAGCCUUUUUUUCAACUUUUGACCUCGGAUCAGGUAGGGAUACCCGCUGAACUUAAGCAUAUCAAUAAGCGGAGGAA